rnacentral:rRNA from 1 species
AGUUUGAUCCUGGCUCAGAAUCAACGCUGGCGGCGUGCCUAACACAUGCGAGUCGAACGUGAAGCCACCUUCGGGUGGUGGAAAGUGGCAGACGGGUGAGUAACGCGCGGGAAUCUACCCAAUGGUACGGAAUAACUCAGGGAAACUUGAGCUAAUACCGUAUGUGCCCGAAAGGGGAAAGAUUUAUCGCCAUCGGAUGAGCCCGCGUCUGAUUAGCUAGUUGGUGGGGUAAUGGCCUACCAAGGCGACGAUCAGUAGCUGGUCUGAGAGGAUGAUCAGCCACACUGGGACUGAGACACGGCCCAGACUCCUACGGGAGGCAGCAGUGGGGAAUCUUGCACAAUGGGGGAAACCCUGAUGCAGCGACGCCGCGUGAGCGAUGAAGCCCUUCGGGGUGUAAAGCUCUUUCGGCAGGAACGAUAGUGACGGUACCUGCAGAAGAAGCUGCGGCUAACUACGUGCCAGCAGCCGCGGUAAUACGUAGGCAGCGAGCGUUGUUCGGAGCUACUGGGCGUAAAGAGUGCGUAGGCGGUUUUAUAAGUCUCGUGUGAAAGCCCUCGGCUUAGCUGAGGAUCUGCACGGGAUACUGUAAGGCUCGAGUUCGGGAGAGGAAAGCGGAAUUCCGGGUGUAGCGGUGAAA